rnacentral:tRNA from 1 species
GCCGUGACCGUCCAGUGGUCAGUACUCUGCGCUGUGGCCGCAGCAACCUCGCUUCGAAUCCGAGUCACGGCC